rnacentral:rRNA from 1 species
UCGGGAAUUUUGGGCAAUGGGCGAAAGCCUGACCCAGCAACGCCGCGUGAGGGAUGAAGUAUUUCGGUAUGUAAACCUCGAAAGAAUGGGAAGAAUAAAUGACGGUACCAUUUAUAAGCUCCGGCUAACUACGUGCCAGCAGCCGCGGUAAUACGUAGGGAGCAAGCGUUGUUCGGAUUUACUGGGCGUAAAGGGCGCGUAGGCGGCGCGGUAAGUCACUUGUGAAAUCUCUGAGCUUAACUCAGAACGGCCAAGUGAUACUGCUGUGCUAGAGUGCGGAAGAGGCAACCGGAAUUCUUGGUGUAGCGGUGAAAUGCGUAGAUAUCAAGAGGAACACCAGAGGCGAAGGCGGGUUGCUGGGCCGACACUGACGCUGAUGCGCGAAAGCCAGGGGAGCAAACG